ACUAGCCUUGACAUACACACAAGAUUCAUCUUCACUCCUAGAAAAGCCAAAUUCCUUGACCUUUUCAUCAAAGCAAAGAUUCCAUCUGCGAGGUGCUUGCUUCAAUCCAUAAAUGGAUUUCUCAAGCUUACACACUCUAUUAGGGUACUCGUUGCUGACAAAACCCUCUGGCUGACUCAUGUAAACAUCUUCAGCCAACUUUCCAUUAAGGAAAGCGGUUUUGACAUCCAUCUGCCAUAUUUCAUAGUCAUGAAAUGCAGCUAUGGCUAACAGAACCCGAAUAGACUUAAUCUUGGCUACCGGAGAAAAGGUCUCAUCAUAAUCCACUCCAGGAAUUUGAGAGAAGCCCUUUGCAACCAGUCUAGCCUUAUAAGUGUGUACUUUACCAUCCAUGUCGGUCUUCUUCUUGAAGACCCAUUUGCACCCUACUGUCUUACGACCUGGUACAUUUUCAACCAAGUUCCAAACUUGAUUGUCAUACAUGGAUUGUAUCUCGCUAUCCAUAGCCUCUUUCCAUUUAGCAGACUCGGGGCCUGCCAUGGCUUCCUCGUAGCUGUUAGGGUCAUCUUGACUUACUAGUGUCUCAUCACUAAUAAGUGUCUCACCUUCUGCAGUAAUAUGGAAUCCAUAGUAAUGCUCAGGUGCACUCCUAACUCUCGUGGAACGUCUCAGAGGUACAGAUUUGUCAAUUGGCUCAACAGGAGUUUCCUCCUCAAGUUGAGGGCUAGAGUUUGAAGUUCCUUCACCGCUUGAUUCUUGAAUUUCUUCAAGAUCAAUUUGCCUCCCACUGUCUCCUUGGCUUAUAAACUCUCUUUCUCGAAAGACUCCUCUUCUUGCUACAAAGACCACAUUGUCACUAGGUCUGUAGAAGAGGUAACCAAAGGAUCGCUGUGGGUAACCGAUGAAAAUACACCUCUCGCUUCGAGGUUCGAGCUUAUCAUGAGUCUCGCGUCUCACGAAAGCCUCGCAACCCCAAAUCUUGAUGUGGUCUAGUUUAGGUACUUUACCAGUCCACAUCUCGUGAGGAGUUUUGGCAACUUUCUUUGUAGGGACUAGAUUAAGAAUAUGGGCGGCAGUCUCUAAGGCAUACCCCCAGAAUGAGAUUGGUAGCGUAGCUCGACUCAUCAUGGAACGAACCAUAUCUAACAAGGUUCGAUUACGCCUCUCAGCCACACCAUUCAACUGUGGUGUCCUGGGAGGUGUCAAUUGUGAGACUAUCCCACAUUCCCUUAGAUAGUCGAGGAACUCUGAACUAAGAUACUCACCACCACGAUCGGAUCGAAGCAUCUUAAUGUUCCUGCCCAAUUGAUUCUCGACUUCCUGUUUAAAUUCCUUAAACCUCUCGAAAGUCUCUGACUUAUGCUUGAUCAAGUAGACAUAUCCAUAUCUACUAUAAUCAUCAGUAAAAGUCAAAUAAUAACGAUUAGCAUCCCUUGUGGCAUGUUUGAAUGGUCCACACACAUCCGUGUGUAUAAGGUCCAACAAACCUUCACCCCUCUCACACGAACCUGUGAAGGGUGACUUUGUCAUUUUUCCAAGUAAGCAUGAUUCGCAACUAUCAUCUGACUUUAGGUCAAACGACUCCAAGACUCCAUCCUUUUGGAGUUGGCCUAUGCGUUUCUUGCUUAUAUGUCCAAGACGACAAUGCCAUAAAGAUGCUUUAUCCAAGUUAUUAUUAGUAGAAUCAAUACACAAAACAUUAUUUCCCAAGUUAUCUACAACAGAUACAGCUUCAUACACACCAUCACAAGGUAAUGCUUUAAAAUAAAAGACAUUAUUAUAGAAAACAUCUAUAGAACCAACUUCAUUAUUAAAUGAAAAGGUAAACCCUUGUUUGUACAAAGCAUGAAAGGAAAUAAUAUUUCUUGCCAUUCCUGGCGAAUAACAACACUUAUUCAAAUCUAAACUAAACCCACUACUUAGCGAUAAAGUAUAAACUCCAAUCUUGGUAACAGGUAUAGCUUUCCUAUUCCCCAUGAUCAAGUUUAUCCUUCCUUGCUCCACAUCCUCACUUCUUCUUAGUCCCUGCAAGUCACAACAAAUGUGAAUACCACACCCGGUAUCAAGGACCCAAGAAUUAGAAUGGGGUGAGUUAUUAGAAAUGAUAGUGUAAAUACCUGCAUGGUUGGGUUUAACUUUCCCAUCCUUCACAUCUUGCUGGUAUUUUGGGCAGUUCCGCUUCCAAUGAGCUUUUUCAUGGCAAUAGAAGCAUUCAGCCUCUUUUGGGUCAGAAGAAGGAGUAAUGAAACCUUUCUUGGUUCCACUUGAAGAAGAGCCAUCAAGGGUCCGAACCUUGGUACCCUUAGAAGAGCUCUUUCUCUUCCUCCCUCGACUUUUCCCGAUUGCCAAAACCGGAGUAGAGUUUUGAGUAGGAGUGAUAGCAACCGACUUCCCCUUAAGACCUGAUUCUGCGGUCUUGAGAAGUCCCUGAAGUUUGCUGAGGGUGACUUCUUCCUUGUUCAUGUGAUAUGUCAUGCGGAAUUGAUCAUAGCACGAUGGUAAGGAAUGCAAAAUAAUAUCUAUUGCAAGAUCCUCCGGGAAGUUCACAUUAAGCUUCAGCAAACGAUCCACAUACCUUUGCAUUUUCUGCAUGUGGCUCGUGACGGAUUCCCCGUCCUUCAUCAUGGUUGUUAUCAUGGAGCAGAUGAUUUCAUACCUCUCUUGUCUUGCACUUUGAUGGUAUCUUUCCAUCAAAUCUUGGUGCAUUUCAUAAGGGUAGAAAUCCUCAUAAGACUUUUGGAGUUCCGCUGUCAUCGUGGCCAUCAUGAUGCAAGCCACUUUCGUAGCAUCCCUUUCAUGUGCCCGAAAUUCAGCGAUCUCCUGAGGAGUUGCAGUGGACUCAUCAAUCUCCUUAAGCUCCUUGUCAAGGACAUAUUCUUUGUCCUCGUAGCGGGUAAUCAUCCUGAUGUUUCUGAUCCACUCAUUGAAGUUGGAUCCAUCAAAGGUGACUUUCCCACACAAGUUCAUAAGGGUAAAGGAGCCAUUAGGAUUAGAGCCAGAAGCAUUGUUGAAAGACAUCUGAAGGAAAGAGGACAAGAUUAGUUUAGAUAUAAGAGAGUCCUUAAUAAAACACCCAAAUGUAAUAUUAAGGCUAGGAUCCAAUCACAAUAUAAUAUAACUUAGAAGAGGUAUGCCGUAAUCUAAGCUAUAUCAUAUUUGAAAGGUAGGUGAAUGACGAUUCACCAAUUUCCACCACGAAAACCGCAAUAUUUUAGUAUUAGGUUUUUGAAUGGUUCUUAGAAAUUCCUAGAUUCUUUGAGAUUCAAUGAACUUUUCAAAGGCAUGUUUCAAUCUCGAGUGUGCCCUCCAAGUUUUGUGACUGGGAUACCGAGGAUCACAAAACGAGGUGUGAAGUAACCAUGCAAAUCACUUGGUACCCUUAAAGUUUAUCACUCAAUCGAUGUGCCGGUUAACCACACACGCUCCAUCGAUACUAUAAUAAACCCUAAGUCACCCUUUACCUACCUUGUUAAGUCCAAGUUAGUGUGCCGGUUAACCACACACGCUCCACCAACGACUUAAUCAAAGUGUAAAGUGUAAUUUCAUGGAAUAGCACCUUAUUCACAUUUUUCCUAAAGUAACUAAGAUUGGGAAUUUAAUAAAACAUUUAGUUACUUUAUAAUAUUCAUCAUACUUUGAAUGAGAAUUAAUAAGUCCUUGUCUUACCCGUUCGGCUAACGACCCUCCACCGAUCAAGCAAGCGGUGGGUGAGAGUGGACACCCAUUAAGUCACCAUUUUAUAGGCAACAACCUUAUACCCACCUUAUAGACCGGCUUCGUGAAUGAGGCGUACUAGCGGUAAGACGACUUUGUUCUUAUACAUAUAUAUAUAAUUAUUAAAUCAUAAUAAUAUAAGUAUAAGGGUUGAAUUUUAACUUUUAAAAUUCUAGGGGUUGGAACUAAAGUUUUAACUUAACUUUACUUGUUCCAAAACUUGAGGGCAAGUUUUGUAAACUUUCAAAACUUUUCAUUUCUUGUAACUUAUGAGUUUAAUAGAGUAAUAAAAUGAGGACUUUUCAUUUUUCCUAACUCUUGUGUUCUUUUAAUGGUUUUUAAUCCAAGAGACUUUUGGUUUUCCAUAACUUGAGGACAAGUUAUGGACUCCAUUAAAACACAUUAUGAUCAUGAAUUAAUCUACCACAUAGGUUACAAAUAAUUCCUAUGAUCAUCUAAACAUCAUAAGAACAAGAAUAUGAAUAUGAACACUUUCAAGAAUCAAAAUCACAUUUAAUCUUUGUAAUUUUGAUAACUAGUUGUUGUAAAUGAGUUAGAAAAGACAUUACACCUUCUAAAAUAAGUUUUCAAGUACCAAAACAUUUUAGGGUAAUGAUUCUAAUCCAUUUCCAGCAACUCAAGUCGAAAUUCUGCACUCUGUCGACCCUACUCGCCGAGUGCAUAAACCUACUCGCCGAGUAGGUUGAAGAUACACAUGAACUCGACGAGUCCUCCCCAUGGACUCGCCGAGUCCAUCAGUCAGACAGCAAGAUUUUCGACUUUCUUCAACUUUUAAGCACAAAUAACAAACAAACAAGCCUAGGCUCUGAUACCACUGAUGGGUUUUGAGCAUUCUAACACUUCCUAAGUGUACAUGCAACCCUAAUAACCUUGGAUCUAUGUUUGUCUAAUUAUCAUGCAAAGUUGAAUUCCAAGGUUAUAUUCCUAUCUAGCAUACAUGGGGAACAAUUUUAACUUGAAUCAUAGAUAGAAUAACUUACCUUGUUGUUGCUUGUGUUCCUUGAAACCUUGUGAGCCUAGCACCCCAAGUGUGAUGCCUCAAAUGCUUCACACAACACCAAAUGCUCUUGGAAAGACUCUUGAGAUAACACACACUUCUCAAAAUCGGCCAAGCCCUCUAGUUUCUUUGUGUAGCCGAUUUUGGUGGAGAAUAUGAUUCUUAUAUAGUGUUGACACAUCUAGGGUUACACCAUGUAAACCCUAAUGUGUCAUGACUCUUCAUUUCCAUGACCCAUGGGUUUGUAACUCCCAUGGAGCAUCCAUGGAGCAUCCUAUGGGUAGAACCCAACUUGAUAAUCCAUGGAGCCUCUUAGCCCACUAUACAAGAUAUGGAUGAUUUACAUAAUCAACCCAUAUAUUUAAUUAGUUAUCCUUUGAUCACUUAAUUAAUUCCAAAUUAAUUCUUUGUUCAACUAAUCAAAUAAUAUUAUUAAUAUAUUAGAACUUAUAAUAUAUUAAUAAUCUCCAAGUGUUAUUUCUCUCAUUUAGUUUAUCCAAUUGCAUGGUGCCAUGCAACCCAAAUGGACCAUGCCGGGUCGGGUCAAGUACUUACCAGAAAUAGUUAUGGACUUAGACACCUUAUCCAACAGUCUCCCACUUGGAUAAGUCUAAUAACUAUAACUGCAGUACUUCAGGAACCGAUCGGCAAUCGUAGCUCUUUCAAGGUCUCUCGGAACUGAGAAGAUGUUGAUACGCCAUUUAAGAUAAGUGAUCAUAUAAUCCUCUGUUCUAGAUAUCAGCCGGACAAAUACAUGGAACAAUGUCUUACUUAUUGUCCAGCAGUUUGUUUCCCGAUUUCCGAUUUGUUUGACAAAGAACUUAAUUGAACACAUCAACUUAGUUCUGACCGGGCCCGGUACAUAGGUCAAAACAAAAUCAUCGAGGGGCCCAGAUAUCAGCUUCUAAUCCAAGAAGGAACAGAUAAACUUCGACUCAUAUGUUUGUUCUAGCACUCAUUGAAUUAUACACAAAAGCACGUUUUAUAACAUCGAGUUACCAAUGUGUUUUCGUACAAUCAAUGCAUAACCAACUCAUAAGUAACAAAUCAUAUCUCUAGGUUUGAAGACUUAUAUGAUAUUACCGUCUCACGAUCACUCGAGAUUAAAUUCCAUGAAGUGAUUCCAGUGAGCGUGGGUUGAGUCCAAUGCUCAGAACUUAUGAGCACUCAUGAUUGUUGUAGCCAUGUCCAACACCUUAGACCUCUGCAACCAAUCAUGACAGUCAUGAUUCAUACCUACUUCCGACAUAUGACCGACUGUGGAGGUUCGAAUAAUAUGAUAUACCAAACAUAAUUAUUCUGGAAGUCAAAACAUGCAAAAGAAAUAUAGUAAACGAUUGACAAGAGAUAGCAACACUUUACUCAUAAAUAAAACACCUUUUAUUCAUCAUCUAAUUUCAAUUACACUUUACAAAUUUCGAGGUUAUCUAAUUACUAAAUCUAAUAUCAUCCUUCAGCGCUAUGCUCCGAGCAUGCUGGAGAUGCUUAACCUGAGUCAGUCCCUUCGUGAGGAGAUCUGCUGGAUUCUCAUCCGAUGAUACCCUCUUUUCCACGAGGAGUCCUUCUUCUAUUCGAUGUCUGAUAAAAUGGUAUUUUCUGUCGAUGUUUCGGAUCUCCCAUGAUCCCUUGGUUCCUUGGCUAAGGCAACCACACUUUCAUUAUCAUAGAAAAUUUCCAUUGGUUCUUUAAUAACUGGUACAACUCCAAGGUCUCCAAUGAAGUUCUUCAGCCAUAUCGCCUCCUUUGCUGACUCGCUUGCUGCAAUAUACUUUGAUUCGCAAGUUGAAUCAGGCACUGUCUCUUGCUUGGAAUUCUUCCAAGAAAUUGCUCCUCCGUUUAGAGUAAAGAUCCAGCCUGACUGAGAGCGGAAAUUAUCCCUAUCAGUCUGAAAGCUAGCAUCACUAUACCCUACAACUCUCAAGUCAUCACUCCCACCGAGGGUAACGACCCAGUCCUUAGUCCUCCGUAGGUACUUGAGGAUAUUAUUUACUGCAGUCCAGUGUGCCUUGUCAGGGUUCCCCUGAUACCUGCUAACCAUGCUCAAGGCAAAGGCUACAUCAGGUCGAGUACACGUCAUAGCAUACAUGAUCGAUCCUAUAGCCGAAGCAUAAGGUAUUCGACUCAUUUAUGCUAUCUCUGCCUCAGUACUAGGGCAUUGUGUCUUACUCAAUAUGGCGUUACUCUGGAUGGGUAACUCUCUUUUCUUGGAGUCCUACAUGCUGAAUCUCUUCAGCACCUUAUCCAAGUAGGUACUCUGACUAAGUCCAAUUAGUCUUUUACUUCGGUUUCUCAAGAUCCUUAUCCCUAGAAUAUAGGCAGCUUCUCCUAGGUCCUUCAUAGAGAAACACUUCCCAAUCCAGGACUUAACUUCCUGCAGAGUUGGGAUGUCAUUUCCUAUGAGUAGUAUGUCAUCCACAUACAAUACCAAAAAGCUAACUAUACUCCCACUAGCCUUGACAUAUACACAAGAUUCAUCUUCACUCCUAGAAAAGCCAAAUUCCUUGACUUUCUCAUCAAAGCAAAGAUUCCAUCUGCGAGGUGCUUGCUUUAACCCAUAAAUGGAUUUCUCAAGCUUACACACUCUAUUAGGGUACUCGUUACUGACAAAACCUUCUGGCUGACUCAUGUAAACAUCUUCAGUCAACUUUCCAUUAAGGAAAGCGGUUUUGACAUCCAUUUGCCAAAUUUCAUAGUCAUGAAAUGCAGCUAUGGCUAACAGAACCCUAAUAGACUUAAUCUUGGCUACUGGAGAAAAGGUCUCAUCAUAGUCCACUCCAGGAAUUUGAGAGAAGCCCUUUGCAACCAGUCUAGCCUUAUAAGUGUGUACUUUACCAUCCAUGUCGGUCUUCUUCUUGAAGACCCAUUUGCACCCUACAGUCUUUCGACCUGGUACAUUCUCAACCAAGUUCCAAACUUGAUUGUCAUACAUGGAUUGUAUCUCGCUAUCCAUAGCCUCUUUCCAUUUAGCAGACUCGGGGCCUGCCAUGGCUUCCUCGUAGCUGUUAGGGUCAUCUUGACUUACUAGUGUCUCAUCACUAAUAAGUGUCUCACCUUCUGCAGUAAUAUGGAAUCCAUAGUAAUGCUCAGGUGCACUCCUAACUCUCGUGGAACGUCUCAGAGGUACAGAUUUGUCAAUUGGCUCAACAGGAGUUUCCUCCUCAAGUUGAGGGCUAGAGUUUGAAGUUCCUUCACCGCUUGAUUCUUGAAUUUCUUCAAGAUCAAUUUGCCUCCCACUGUCUCCUUGGCUUAUAAACUCUCUUUCUCGAAAGACUCCUCUUCUUGCUACAAAGACCACAUUGUCACUAGGUCUGUAGAAGAGGUAAC
rnacentral:lncRNA from 1 species